rnacentral:rRNA from 1 species
UACGAAGGGGGCUAGCGUUGCUCGGAAUCACUGGGCGUAAAGCGCACGUAGGCGGCUUUUUAAGUCAGGGGUGAAAUUCUGGAGCUCAACUCCAGAACUGCCUUUGAUACUGAGAAGCUUGAGUCCGGGAGAGGCGAGUGGAACUGCGAGUGUAGAGGUGAAAUUCGUAGAUAUUCGCAAGAACACCAGUGGCGAAGGCGGCUCACUGGCCCGGUACUGACGCUGAGAUGCGAAAGCGUGGGGAGCAAACAGG